rnacentral:rRNA from 1 species
AUUGAACGCUGGCGGCAGGCCUAACACAUGCAAGUCGAGCGGAUGAAGGGAGCUUGCUCCUGGAUUCAGCGGCGGACGGGUGAGUAAUGCCUAUGAAUCUGCCUGGUAGUGGGGGAUAACGUCCGGAAACGGGCGCUAAUACCGCAUACGUCCUGAGGGAGCAAGUGGGGGAUCUUCGGACCUCACGCUAUCAGAUGAGCCUAGGUCGGAUUAGCUAGUUGGUGGGGUAAAGGCCUACCAAGGCGACGAUCCGUAACUGGUCUGAGAGGAUGAUCAGUCACACUGGAACUGAGACACGGUCCAGACUACUAAGGGAGGCAGCAGUGGUGAAUAUUGGACAAUGGGCGAAAGCCUGAUACAGCCAUGCCGCGUGUGUGAAGAAGGUCUUCGGAUUGUAAAGCACUUUAAGUUGGGAGGAAGGGCAGUAAGUUAAUACCUUGCUGUUUUGACGUUACCAACAGAAUAAGCACCGGCUAACUUCGUG